GGAUGUUAAUUGCUUUUCUUAUUUAAUUGAAACAUUGCAAUUCCGAAAUUGAGUGUUUUCAACAUUAGCUGAAUAUCAACAGAGUUUUGCAUAAAAUCAUAG